UACGUAGGGUGCAAGCGUUGUCCGGAAUUAUUGGGCGUAAAGAGCUCGUAGGCGGUUUGUCGCGUCUGCUGUGAAAAUCCAGGGCUUAACCCUGGACCUGCAGUGGGUACGGGCAGACUAGAGUGCGGUAGGGGAGAUCGGAAUUCCUGGUGUAGCGGUGAAAUGCGCAGAUAUCGGGAGGAACACCAAUGGCGAAGGCAGCUCGCUGGGACGUGACUGACGCUGAGACGCGAAAGCGUGGGGAGCAAACAGG
rnacentral:rRNA from 1 species